rnacentral:rRNA from 1 species
AGCAGCCGCGGUAAUUCCAGCUCCAAUAGCGUGUAUUAAAGUUGUUGCAGUUAAAAAGCUCGUAGUUGAAUUUCGGGGUCAGUAGAUUGGUCGUGCCACUGGUAUGUACUGGUCUCACUGGCUCCUCCUUCCUGAUGAACCGUAAUGCCAUUAAUUUGGUGUUGCGGGGAGACUGGACUGUUACUUUGAAAAAAUUAGAGUGUUUAAAGCAGGCUAACGCUUGAAUACAUUAGCAUGGAAUAAUGAAAUAGGACGUUCGAUCUUAUUUUGUUGGUUUCUAAGAUUGACGUAAUGAUUAAUAGGGAUAGUUGGGGGCAUUAGUAUUCAAUUGUCAGAGGUGAAAUUCUUGGAUUUAU